rnacentral:lncRNA from 1 species
CAGCCCCUUAUAUAUUUUAUUUGGAGACAGGGUCUGGCUGAGUUCCUUAGCGACUCCGAACUUGGAUUCCUCCUGUCUCAGCCUCUAGAGCUUCUGGGAUUACAGGCGCUAUGCCCAGCCUUAUAAAUUUGUUUUCUAGUAGCCAUAUUGAGAAAUGUUGCCUUUUUUCAUAUUGAAUAUGGAGCAUAUUCACAGCCACAUUGACUAGUGGCUACCUAUUGGACAGCACAGUCCUAGAAUAUUCUUAAUUCUCAUCUUAUUAGUCUAUGCUUUGCAAAUCUUAAAUUUCAGUUCUGUGAACCUUUCUCAGUUCUCAUCAGUCUCUUCUGAAUUCAUCUGUGAAUUUCUGGUAAGUCAUUUUCACACUUGUAGUGUUGCCAAAAGCUCUGUCCUUUUCCCUGAUGCCAAUCCAAUGAUGAGGACACAAAUUUUGAGAAAAAGGAAAAAGAGGGUUUAUUGCUUUGCUAGCAAAGGAGAAACACCCGGGACUCCUGUCCCAAAGGCUGUGAUUCUGACCAUCAGCAGGAACAGGAGGGCUUUUAAAGAGGUGACUCAAAGGCUACAUUCCCUGUGUUACCUGUCAGAGUUGUGAUUCACUUGUUAAUUUGGGAGAUAGUAAUUUCUGAGAUCUUCUUGUACCUAUCCCUAAAGUCUGAUUACUUAACAAUCCUAUGGUGGGUGUGUACUCAAGGACAAAUAACUCUGUGAUGGAGAAGAUUAGGGAGGGGCAAGAUUAGAGAGGAUCUGGGAGUGAAAGAAACUUGUGCAUUUUAAAAAUAAGUUGCAGUGGCAGAGCAGCAAGGGCUGUAUUCAAAGCCUAAAGUUAACAUAUUUAUCCUAUAGUUAAUCUUGCCACAUUCUUGACUCUUGCCUCUCAUUUAUCCUCCCUACUGAAUCAGUUGUUCCUCAGUUUUUUAAAUAUCUUCAGUCUUUGCCCAUUGCUCUUUCCGUAGAUCAGGACAUUACUUGUCUGUAUUGCUGCAGUACCAUCCUAAACUGGAUUCAAAUACAGAUCUAUCCUUGUACUUCAGUGCUUAAAAGCCUAGUUGUUCUUAGGAUAUCUAAAUUGAAUAAACAUGGUUUAAAAAGCUUAAAGUAUGAGUAGCAAAAUGUCUCAUCUGUGAGUCUAGUAUCAGGCCUAGGAGAGAAAUUGUCAAAAGGUUUAUGAGAGUCAUAAAAAUUAAGAAAGUUGGGGUUCAAGAAGGGAAUGGAGAAAUGAGUUUUGAAUAGCAAGCUAGAGCUAUACCCUGAAGGGCUUUUUAAACCUUGUUAACAUGUCUGGAUAUUACAUUAGGAAGGCAGAAAUUAUUCCUCUGAAUUAGGUGCCCCUGAAUUGCCAUCAGUGUCUAUCAAGAAUAAAAUUUAGCUUGGCUGAGAACAAAGAAAAAAUGUUUCUUGGAGCUAAUUAGGAUUGCAAUCUGCAGCCAGAAACACAAAUUUCAAUAGCCUUGAAUUGGAUUUUGAGUUUUUUUUCAAAGUAGCACAAGAAGGUUUAUAAUUACAUUACUUGUUAAUCCAGAAUUAUGAUUGGUACUGCCAAAU